UGUACAUUGGCAAUAUAUGAAUAUUUGAUGUUUGUUUCAAUAUAAUAUUAUAAUUAUGUUACUUUACAAAAUUUUACACCGUGUUUUUAAAGAUAUACGAAUGCUAACUGUUACUACUAACCUCAGAACUUUGUGCGACGUUGUUACGACCGAUAGCUUUCAAACCAUCUCUGUCAAUGGAUUUAUAGUAAUACUGUAGUAUCAUAUUUAAUUGGAAAAGUCAUAAAAAUAGAAUGUUGUUUGUUGAAGACACAACAAAGAAUACUCAAGAUUAAAACAAUAUACAUGAUAUAAUGUAAGUAUUUUUUCUUGGUAGGUACCUGACAAAAAAUAAUUUUUUUAUAUUUACAAAGCAAAUAGUUUAAUGAAUAAUUCAUUAUUAUUAACACAAGUUUAUACUUGCUACAAUAAUAUUAAAAUAUUAUAAUAUAAUUUUCCUAUAACAACAAUAUACGACUGUUGCCGAAAAGUAUCAAUAACAAUAAUUAUGGCUUCGGGGGACCCAACUAUCGCGGACAAUGAGAACUUUCAAAGCGAUCGGUUUGCAUCAAAUACUCAAUCCCACCAGCGAGGGGCAACCGGUACUAUGGAAAAGCGUUCACGAAGUCCAUGUGGGUGUCGUUCGUUGUGCAGAACACGCAGUUGGCCGGCGUCGCUGAUAGGCGACUACCUGACGGUGACCAGGUUACCGUCUACAACAUUUAGUUACCGAGAUGUCGGUAACCGGGUAAAACACGCUGGCUGUAUGGCAGUUCAUCUACGCCGUCGAAGUAAUCGCGAGCUUUGUUAACUUUAUUAUUUAGUUGAUCGCUGUUCAACAGCUACUUGUUGACUAUGAUGUGUUUCACGUACAACGUUCAGUUUCUCCGCAAGUUGGGAGACCAUCGGCCCUCACGACCAGUCACCGCCGACACCGCCCGAUGCGGGUUCGUGCCUGACGUAUUCAUAAUUUAAUAUAUUUUAAUACUUAUGUUUUCGAUAUCGUCGUAAAAACUGAUAGUUAACGACAACGACAACGAUGAGAGUGGUUACCUUUGCAACGGAAUUGGAACCAUCGUGGAUAAUCGAUGAGACAUUAAAUACUGUGAUCAGUUGGUUGACGUUCGGUAGCUACGUGUUGACUAUGUGUAUCACGUUCAACGCCAAGUUCCACACACCUUGUCGGCCAGUUACGCGACCAUCGACCACACAGAGACCCCUUCCGGUCGCUGACGCGGCAUGCCACGGAUACGUGCCUGAUUCAAUGAUAUAGAAACCGCGGUAAACAAUAAAAUAAAUUAUACGAUAUCAGAUCAUCUACUUAUUUCCUUUGUAAAAUAUCUGAUUGAAAUGUUGACAAUUUUUAUUGAUAAAAAUCUGCGUUGAAUUUUGUAUUGUACAGUAGUAAUUGCAUUGAAAUGGGUUUAAAAUUUAAAAAGACUUGGUUAUUUGCUAUGAAUAUGAAUUUAGCUCACAGACAAGUGAUGAAAGUUACAGCAGAGUGUAUCAUGAAUCUAGAAAUUUUUGCCAAUGUAAGCACUUACAGAUAUUUAAUUGAAAUUAUUGUAUAACAACUUUACUUAUAAGUAUUUUAUACUGAAUAAUAUAAUAUAAUUGCAUUAUUAUUUAUCUGUAUUUGUAAUCUUC